rnacentral:rRNA from 1 species
AGCGAACGCUGGCGGCAGGCUUAACACAUGCAAGUCGAGCGGGCCCUUCGGGGUCAGCGGCAGACGGGUGAGUAACACGUGGGAACGUACCCUUUGGUUCGGAAUAACGCUGGGAAACUAGCGCUAAUACCGGAUACGCCCUUUUGGGGAAAGGCUUGCUGCCGAAGGAUCGGCCCGCGUCUGAUUAGCUAGUUGGUGGGGUAAUGGCCUACCAAGGCGACGAUCAGUAGCUGGUCUGAGAGGAUGAUCAGCCACACUGGGACUGAGACACGGCCCAGACUCCUACGGGAGGCAGCAGUGGGGAAUAUUGGACAAUGGGCGCAAGCCUGAUCCAGCCAUGCCGCGUGAGUGAUGAAGGCCUUAGGGUUGUAAAGCUCUUUUGUCCGGGACGAUAAUGACGGUACCGGAAGAAUAAGCCCCGGCUAACUUCGUU